rnacentral:lncRNA from 1 species
UGAACUUCGGAAAACAAAUCUCCGUGUCUUCGUGUUCUUGUGAUAUCGUUCCUCACUCCUGUAUUCUUGCAUCGUUGAAGUAUAUCCGUUGUUGCUGUUCCUACUUCUGUUGCUACUGCUAUACUCUUGUUCAUCUUUUUUCAUUCCGCCGCAACUCUAAACUUUGCUAAGUCUAAUCUCUGUUGUUGAAGUACUAUGACUGUUAUCAGUCUUCAUUUUUGAAGAAAACUUAAAAUUGGUCACAUUCACCCCCCCUCUAUGACGUACUUGAUCUUUCACCCCCUUUGGCAUCAAAAAGCCGAAAAGUACUUCAACAACAGAGAUUAGACUUAAAAACUUCAACAACAGAUCUUUCCCCGAGACAAAAACUUCUGAAUCAGCACCUAUUGAUUCUUCAACAGAGCGGCAGAGACAUGAGUGAUGGUGUAACAUCCCAAAAAUUUCAAAUUCUUACAUAUGCAUUGCAUCCAUAAGCAUCAUGCCACAAUUGCAUAUUUGAAUUCAAAUUUGAAUCUCAAAAGGCUUUGGAAAGAUUUUAUUUGAAUCUAAACCUUAGCGUUUACACCCAUUUGAGCUUUGGAUCUUAAAACCAAUAGGGUUUAUUUAUAAAAGGGGUCUAUUGCAUAUAUGAGCUAUCCCAUAAUUUUAAGGUUUUAUUUGGAGUUGAAAAGGUAUUUCAUUUAAAUAGUUAUAUAGCCCUAAAGGCAUUUAUAGGGCAAAGGUAUUUUUAUGUAUUUUAUUUUGAGGGGAAAUUACUCCCAAAAGUUGAAUCAUCAUAGAACAUGAUUUUACAAAUUUUCUGGAAUUUAUUUGGGCCAAUUUAGGGUUCAAAAUCAAAAGAUAUCAAAGAAAUAAGAAAAACAGAAAAAUAAAAGGCUAAAGAAAAAAAAAUAGAACGGACCGACCCACUAGGCCGGCCCGCUAAGCCGCGAACCGGCCGAACCGCCCGGCCGACCGCGCCCG